rnacentral:rRNA from 1 species
CAUGCAAGUCGAACGGCAGCAUGAUCUAGCUUGCUAGAUUGAUGGCGAGUGGCGAACGGGUGAGUAAUACAUCGGAACGUGCCCUGUAGUGGGGGAUAACUAGUCGAAAGAUUAGCUAAUACCGCAUACGACCUGAGGGUGAAAGUGGGGGACCGCAAGGCCUCAUGCUAUAGGAGCGGCCGAUGUCUGAUUAGCUAGUUGGUGAGGUAAAGGCUCACCAAGGCGACGAUCAGUAGCUGGUCUGAGAGGACGAUCAGCCACACUGGGACUGAGACACGGCCCAGACUCCUACGGGAGGCAGCAGUGGGGAAUUUUGGACAAUGGGCGAAAGCCUGAUCCAGCAAUGCCGCGUGUGUGAAGAAGGCCUUCGGGUUGUAAAGCACUUUUGUCCGGAAAGAAAUGGCUCUGGUUAAUACCUGGGGUCGAUGACGGUACCGGAAGAAUAAGGACCGGCUAACUACGUGCCAGCAGCCGCGGUAAUACGUAGGGUCCAAGCGUUAAUCGGAAUUACUGGGCGUAAAGCGUGCGCAGGCGGUUGUGCAAGACCGAUGUGAAAUCCCCGAGCUUAACUUGGGAAUUGCAUUGGUGACUGCACGGCUAGAGUGUGUCAGAGGGGGGUAGAAUUCCACGUGUAGCAGUGAAAUGCGUAGAGAUGUGGAGGAAUACCGAUGGCGAAGGCAGCCCCCUGGGAUAACACUGACGCUCAUGCACGAAAGCGUGGGGAGCAAACAGGAUUAGAUACCCUGGUAGUCCACGCCCUAAACGAUGUCAACUAGUUGUUGGGGAUUCAUUUCCUUAGUAACGUAGCUAACGCGUGAAGUGACCGCCUGGAUAC